AGUCUACCAGACAACAGACACAGCGAGUUCCCAGCCCCCUUAAUACAGCAGGAGCAGGUUGCAUUUCAACCUACACUUUAGUCCCUUAGAGUGGUCCAGGCGUACCCCCUACCUCCCCCCUCUCUGCCUCUGUCCCUCAUGUGCACCCCUUAAACCCCGCCCUCAGUUAAAGCCCCUCUCUCUCCUCCACCCCAUUCUGCCAAGAGAAAGGGCAGCGAGAAGCGACAAGGACGAAGUGUGACUAAGUGCAGCAAGGUUAGUCUGUUGGUGCAUAGAGCCUUAUUUAUAUCACCCUGGCCAAGUCUGUUUUUCUCAAGCCUUCACAGACACGGAUAAAGACAAUCCUUCUCCCUUUUCCUCCUUCCCAGAUCCGACAGGACAGAGGACAAGACAGUGGAUUCUUUCUACCCCAAGGAAGAACGUACAGGUUGUACAAAAACAGUAAGAAAAAAAAAACAGUAACACACAGUAAGUACUGGACCAGAUUAAUUGAUCACGUCCUCCUCCCUGGGGUCACCGGGAUUUCUUUAAAAACUCAGCCGUUAGCCUAAAUUCAAAAUUCACAAUAUUAAUCUAUUGUCUUUUCUUCCAAGACAUUUGUGAUUUGGAUCUGAGUAUAGUUAAAAGGCACACGUGUUAGAUGCCCAUCACUGACUUGUAUUGUGAUGUGUGGGAUCUGAGCCAGACUCA